UAGCUAAAACGGUAAAGAAUCUGCCUGUGAUGCAGGAGACCCAGGUUCGAUCCCUGG
rnacentral:tRNA from 1 species